UACGGGGGGGGCAAGCGUUGUUCGGAAUUACUGGGCGUAAAGGGCGCGUAGGCGGCCUCUUAAGUCGAACGUGAAAUCCCCGGGCUCAACCCGGGAACUGCGUCCGAUACUGGGGGGCUUGAAUCCGGGAGAGGGAUGUGGAAUUCCAGGUGUAGCGGUGAAAUGCGUAGAUAUCUGGAGGAACACCGGUGGCGAAGGCGGCAUCCUGGACCGGUAUUGACGCUGAGGCGCGAAAGCCAGGGGAGCAAACGGG
rnacentral:rRNA from 1 species